AGCCGACUAGCUAGCCCCACCCUCAAAUUUCAACAACUAAAUAUAAUUUAACCCCUAAGACACUAAAACCAAUAAACAAACCAUUUUGCCUCUUAAGUACGGGAGACGGAAAAAGACCACGGAGCGAUAGAAAAAGUACCGCAAGGGAACGCUGAAAGAGAAGUGAAACAACCCAGUAAAGCUCAAGAAAGCAGAGCUUAGAACUCGUACCUUUUGCAUCAUGAUUUAGCUAGUAUCCCCAAGCAAAGAGAACUUUAGUUUGACACCCCGAAACUAAGGGAGCUACUCCAAGACAGCCUGACUAUAGGGCGAACCCGUCUCUGUUGCAAAAGAGUGGGAAGAGCUUCGAGUAGAGGUGACAAACCUACCGAACUUAGUUAUAGCUGGUUGCCUGAGAAGUGAAUAGAAGUUCAGCCUUGCGGCUUCUCCCUUCAUAACUGCACCAGUACUUAUAAAGAUAAAAAGAACACCGCUUGAGUUAGUCGCAGGGGGUCCAGCCCCUACGACCCAAGACACAGCUUUUACAGGAGGGUAAAGAUCAUAUUCUACUAAAGAAAUAAUGUCUAGGUGGGCCUGAAAGCAGCCACCCCUAUAAAAAGCGUUAAAGCUCAGAUAUAACCUUAAUUCUAUUAUACCGAUAAAGAACCUCAUCCCCCUAAUUUUAUCAGGCCGCCCUAUGCACCCAUAGGAACGAUUAUGCUAAUAUGAGUAAUAAGAGAGGACCCCCUCUCUCCCUGCACACCUGUAACUCGGAACGGACCCCCCACCGAACAUUAACGGCCCCAAAAAAAGAGGGCAUUGAAGGACAAUCAAACCGACCAGAAGACCCUUCAGUACACUACCGUUGACCCUACACUGGCGUGCUACCGGGGAAAGACUUAAAGAAAGAGAAGGAACUCGGCAAACACCUGCCUCGCCUGUUUACCAAAAACAUCGCCUCUUGUCCCGCUAAAAUAAGAGGUCCCGCCUGCCCACUGACUAUAUGUUUAAUGGCCGCGGUAUUCUGACCGUGCAAAGGUAGCGUAAUCACUUGUCUUUUAAAUGGAGACUGGUAUGAAUGGCUUAACGAGGGCCUGACUGUCUCCUCUCUCUAAGUCAGUGAAAUUGAUCUCCCCGUGCAGAAGCGGGGAUUAAACCAUAAGACGAGAAGACCCUAUGGAGCUUUAGGUUAUGAGCCAGACCAUGUCAAUGCACUUUCAACAAUAAGCUAAACUUAGUGACUACCUGUUUCCUAUGCCUUCGGUUGGGGCGACCAUGGAGCAACAACACCCUCCACGUGGAAUAGGAGCAUUCAUGUUAACCCACAGAUUAUAAUUUUUCCCCUCCUCCUACAAUCAAGGGCUGCAGCCCUAAAUAACAAAACUUUUGACCUCCCUUGAUCCGGCAGCGCCGAUUAACGAACCAAGUUACCCUAGGGAUAACAGCGCAAUCCCCUUCUAGAGCCCAUAUCGACAAGGGGGUUUACGACCUCGAUGUUGGAUCAGGACAUCCUAAUGGUGCAGCCGCUAUUAAGGGUUCGUUUGUUCAACGAUUAAAGUCCUACGUGAUCUGAGUUCAGACCGGAGUAAUCCAGGUCAGUUUCUAUCUAUGCUACGCACCUUUUCUAGUACGAAAGGACCGAAAAGGAGAGGCCCAUAUUGUAAGCAAGCCUCUACCCUACCUAAUGAGACCAUCUAAAUUAGAUAAAGGGGAGUGACAUUAACAAGCGCAGAUAACGCUAAGCUAAGAGUCUAGUUAACUACUAG
rnacentral:rRNA from 1 species